rnacentral:rRNA from 1 species
CCUACGAGGUGGCUGCAGUGGGGAAUAUUGGACAAUGGGCGAAAGCCUGAUCCAGCCAUGCCGCGUGUGUGAAGAAGGCCUUCGGGUUGUAAAGCACUUUCAGUGGGGAAGAAAGCCUUGGGGCUAAUACCCUCGAGGAAGGACAUCACCCACAGAAGAAGCACCGGCUAACUCCGUGCCAGCAGCCGCGGUAAUACGGAGGGUGCGAGCGUUAAUCGGAAUUACUGGGCGUAAAGCGCGCGUAGGCGGUCUGAUAAGCCGGUUGUGAAAGCCCCGGGCUCAACCUGGGAACGGCAUCCGGAACUGUCAGGCUAGAGUGCAGGAGAGGAAGGUAGAAUUCCCGGUGUAGCGGUGAAAUGCGUAGAGAUCGGGAGGAAUACCAGUGGCGAAGGCGGCCUUCUGGACUGACACUGACGCUGAGGUGCGAAAGCGUGGGUAGCAAACAGGAUUAGAUACCCCAGUAGUC